GAGGUGAGUCCCGGCCCUCUUGGGAAUGGACGGGACCCAGGAGUGGGUCGGCCCUCACUGGGUUUUAUAUGUUUCAGAAAAGCAGCAUCUGCUACCUGUCCUUUCCCGACUCGCACUCAGGCUGCCUUGGAGACACUCAGUUCAGCUUCCGCAUGCGCCAGUGUGGAGGGCAGAGGAGCCCCUGGCAUGCCGACGACAGGCACUACAACAGCAGGGCCCCUGUGGCACUGCAGAGGGAGCCGGCACACUACUUCGGCUACGUGUACUUCAGGCAGGUGAAGGACAGCUCUGUGAAGAGGGGCUACUUCCAGAAGGCCGUUCCCGGGGCAGCUGUCCUGUGAAGUUGGUGGGACGUGCUACCCUGGGCCAGCUCCAGUCUUUGGUGCUGGUGUCCCGCUUGCCCUUUGUCCGGCUGUUCCAAGCGCUGCUAAGCCUCAUCGCCCCCGAGUACUUUGACAAGCUGGCGCCCUGCCUGGAAGCAGUGUGCAGUGAGAUCGACCAGUGGCCGGCGCCUGCGCCUGGGCAGACCCUGAACCUACCUGUCAUGGGCGUUGUUGUCCAGGUGCGCAUCCCAUCGAGGGUGGACAAGUCCGAGUCCAGUCCUCCGAAGCAGUGUGACCAAGAGAAUCUGCUGCCAGCCCCAGUGGCUCUUGCUAGCGUCCACGAGCUGGACCUGUUCAGGUGCUUCCGGCCUGUGCUGACUCAUAUGCAGACACUGUGGGAGCUCAUGCUCCUCGGGGAGCCCCUGCUGGUCCUGGCACCCUCGCCCGACGUGUCCUCGGAGAUGGUGCUGGCCUUGACCAGCUGCCUGCAGCCCCUGAGGUUCUGCUGCGACUUCCGUCCCUACUUCACCAUCCAUGACAGUGAGUUCAAGGAGUUCACCACACGCACGCAGGCCCCACCAAACGUGGUCCUGGGAGUCACAAACCCUUUCUUUAUCAAAACACUCCAGCAUUGGCCCCACAUCCUCCGAGUCGGGGAGCCCAAGAUGUCAGGAGACCUGCCUAAGCAAGUCAAGCUGAAAAAGCCUUCAAGGUUGAAGACCCUGGACACCAAGCCAGGUCU
rnacentral:sRNA from 1 species